CCAAUAGCGUAUAUUAAAGUUGUUGUGGUUAAAAAGCUCGUAGUUGAACCUUGGGCCUGGCUGGCCGGUCCGCCUCACCGCGUGUACUGGUCCGGCCGGGCCUUUCCCUCUGUGGAACCCCAUGCCCUUCACGGGGUGUGGCGGGGAAACAGGACUUUUACUUUGAAAAAAUUAGAGUGCUCCAGGCCGGCCUAGGCUCGAAUACAUUAGCAUGGAAUAAUAAAAUAGGACGUGUGGUUCUAUUUUGUUGGUUUCUAGGACCGCCGUAAUGAUUAAUAGGGACAGUCGGGGGCAUCAGUAUUCAAUUGUCAGAGGUGAAAUUCUUGGAUUUAUUGAAGACUAACUACUGCGAAAGCAUUUGCCAAGGAUGUUUUCAUUAAUCAGGAACGAAAGUUAGGGGAUCGAAGACGAUCAGAUACCGUCGUAGUCUUAACCAUAAACUAUGCCGACUAGGGAUCGGACGAUGUUAUUUUUUGACUCGUUCGGCACCUUACG
rnacentral:rRNA from 1 species